UGCAGAGCGUGCGGGCCAUAUGCAGGGAGCUGCAGAGAUCUGACUCAGAGAUGUGGAUCUGCGUCUGUGCGCGCAGCCGGGUGCUCGGCGACACCUCGCUCGUUCCGCCGGGUUUGCGGUUGUGGGGGCGGCGAAAUGAAAAAGCCUUUUGUCAUUUCAGGGACGUUUCCUUCGGAAGAAAUCAAUUUCUUCCUCCAGGUCGAGAGCGGCGAGCGCGGGUGGGCUGGGAAGUGCUGCUCCCUUCCAAGCAGCAGAACCCUGCGGGUCCUGGGCACCUCUGGCUUCUGGGGGCAGAGGGAGGAGGAACUGGAAGGUGGGCACUGGUACUGAAGCCAUAUCCAUGGGGAUCACUCAGGAUGGGCAGCUUCUCCGUUUCAUUUUGUGCUGGCAGUACCAGGGUAAGAGUGCAGGGUAAACAGGACUCAUGUUCACAAUGAAAACAAACAAGCCGGGCUAGAAAAUAUCAUGAGUCAAGAAGGCUCCCUCGGUGCCUCCACCUUCCUUAACCCCGAGUCAGCAAAUGCUUCGGUGCUUUGCAAAUCGAGGGGUGAGCCUGAGACUUGGAGCCUGGGCAGCCCCAACCUCCUCACGCUGGUUGCUCAGAAGAGCAUCAAUUAAAAGUUUAAACCAUCCAUUGAAGUGGACGACCAGCGGGGUGUUAUGAACUGUAGUACAGCCACGACUCUCAAGCACUUCCUUUUGCCUCUGAGACCAACGCUGAGCCUGCAAAGGAGCCUCCCAAAUUCAUUUUUCUGGAUCAGCAGUGAACCACUUUCUGCUUGCUGCAGAGCAGCAGCUGCCUCCCUUCACUCCUUCUCACCUCUUCCAUGCAGAUAUCAUCAGCUGGAGGCCGCACGCUGCUACAGAGCAGAUUUUUCUUUCAUCUGGAGCCAUUUCUCAGGAUGAUGCAAAGUUUGGUCAUUUCUUGCAGUUCUCUGCGCUAGGCUGAUGGAAAGAGAGCAGGAAUUUCAGAAUCAUUCUCUCUUUUUGUAUUUCGCUUCAGCUGAAUCACUUCCCACGUUAUUUUUAUGACGAAGCACUCACACUUUUUGACAUCAAGACAAAUGCUGGCAACUUCCCAGGAGGCUGGGAAGCGCAGUGCAUGCUGAGAGUGGCUCUGUCUGUCUUUCGGUGUGAAUGGAAUUUAUUUGGGGUGGAAAGAGAUUUUCUUGAGCACUGAUACUGCUAUAACUCUGCCUUGCAUUCCCUCACUCACCGCUGCAGCUCAGGAUGCUCAGAAAUGUAAAGGGAUGACACGGGGACGUCCUGUGAGACAUGGGGGAAGACAGGAGGCUGAAGCUGGCAGCAGAAACACUUCAGAAGGGGCUGUUGUACACUUUUGUUGUACAUUUUUAUGGAAUUUUACCAAAGCUUCACAUACAAAUGUGCCCCUUAAGUUGCAGACUUAGGAGAAUGACAGGGAGCCUGUCCCAGGAACCCAGGGUGCCCCCAUCCCACAGGCAUCUGCGGUCGCUUCACUCACAGGGAGAUGCUGGCAUCAAAGGGGCCUGAUUGCCAACUUUUUAUUAUUAUUAUUUUCAAGUAAUAGCGAGCACUGGAUAUUUGGGAGCCCACAAAGAGAACACAGCCCCUGCAUAUCUUUUAAAUUACAUGCUUUGGUAAAUAAAUGAGUGCAAGGCACCA
rnacentral:lncRNA from 1 species